AUUGAACGCUGGCGGCAGGCCUAACACAUGCAAGUCGAGCGGUUGAAGUGAGCUUUCUCCUGGAUUCAGCGGCGGACGGGUGAGUAAUGCCUAGGAAUCUGCCUGCUAGUGGGGUAUAACGUCCGGAAACGGGCGCUAAUACCGCUUACGUCCUGAUGGAGAAAGUGGGGGAUCUUCUGACCUCACGCUUUCAGAUGAGCCUAGGUCGGAUUGGCUAGUUGGUGGGGUAAAGGCCUACCAAGGCGACGAUCCGUAACUGGUCUGAGAGGAUGAGAAGUCAAACUGGAACUGAGACACGGUCCAGAGGCCUAAGGGAGGCAGCAGUGGGGAAUAGUGGACAAUGGGAGAAAGCCUGAUACAGCCAUGCCGCGUGUGUGAAGAAGGUAUUCGGAUUGUAAAGCAGUUUAAGUUGGGAGGAAGGGCAGUAAGUUAAUACCUUGCUGUUUUGACGGUACCAACAGAAUAAGCACCGGCUAACUUCGUG
rnacentral:rRNA from 1 species